GUUUAAAUAGCUUAAAGGUAAAGCAAAGCACUGAAAAUGCUUAGAUGUUGGUUCAAUUCCUUCUUUAGACA
rnacentral:tRNA from 1 species